UAUGAGAGGUGGCGGCCAUGGCCGCUGGCGGGCCUGGCCUGGCCUGGCAGCGAUGGGGAGGACAGGCCGAGGAGCCGAGGCGGCGGGCCUGGCUGGGGACAUCCAUCCAUCAGCAACCCACUGAUUCAGCUAUGCAAUCCAGACCAUCGUGUGUCACAAGCUAAGAGGAGGUGUACUGUGGAAAGCUGCUUACAGAGCAAAUACCACCUGUAAUCUUUAGCAAAUGAGCCAAAGGACAUGGAAUUGGAAAGCAACCUCUGUGAUGAGGCUUGGCCAAUAAAACCUCUUGAACCCAGACAUUCCCAACAU